CAAAGAUAUGCUUAUGUCGUAAACAUCUAACACUCACAAAAAUUUACCCAAAAACAAUGAGCCCUAAACCUUUUCUACACUAAGGUUCAUAUUCAUCGAUUUCUCCAAAGUAUCUCCCGUUCAUAUCAUCGAUUUGUCCCACUAAGUGGUUGUUUUGGGUGUGGAUUUGGUCGGUUCAAUACGAUUGUUUCAUGACACUCGUUGGAGCGUCGAGAAAGGGUGGGUUAAUGAACAAGUAAGAGAGCUAUAUCUAAGUUCAUCAGGAGAAAGUGAUUGUGAUGCAAGAGGAAACCAAUGCGAGGGAAAGUGAAAGAUCUGAAGCUAAAAUCUGUGAAGAAGUGCUUGGUAAAGCUUUCGGCUUCAACCAAAAUUUUGCAUUCUCGGUGACUCAGUAGCAAGAUACAACAGAUGCAACAGAGC